UAUGUUGUUCUACACAAUUUUUUUUUUUUGGGAAAGAGGCCGAAGCCUCGGCAAAGAACACAAUUUCUCGAUUAUUGAUUUGGUUUAUUUGAUAAAUUGUUAAUUUGUUAUAAAGGUGAUGGUAUUUGAAGCUUCAGUUUUCGAGAGAGAUAACAUGAUUUGCAGUCCUUUCCUCUGCGCUUUCCACAGAGUCUUAACCAGCCACCUUCCCUCACUAUCUCAGCUACAAUUGAUUGAGCUAGGGUCUCCAAUGGCUUCACGUAAAGAAAUUUAUAUAAAUGGAGAUAAAGGCGUUCGAUGAAAUGCCCGACUCAACCAACUAUGUAGAAUGAAGGUUUUUUUUUAAUACAGGAGCAGAUUUGGACAGCCAAUGCAUUACUUCAUAUGUGGAAGUUCGUCUUCACACAUGCUUUGAAUUGGAAUCUCUUGAGGAAUUUGUUGCGGAGGAAAAAUGGUUUGCACAACUCCUUUUUAAAGCUCCAGAAUAACCUCCUAUAUAAGCAUGGGUUUGGAAGAAAGCAGUGUAGCAAUUCUGAUGUUUAUGAUGUUUCAUGGAAAGAGGGUGUUCAUGAAGGCAAUGGUAAAUACACAAGGUGUAAUGGUGACAUAUAUAUGGGAGGCUGGAAAGGUAGAUUGAUGUAUGGUAGAGCGGUGAUGAAAAGGCUGAAUGGUGAUCUGUUUGAUGCAAGUUUUUUUCGACAAGAGCCUUUUAGUGAUAAUUCAAAUGCGAGAGGAAGGUGCAGCAACUUGAUUCAAGUUAUUUGGAGAUCGCAUGUGAAAGUUACAACUGUUUAAAGUUGGUUGCAUGGAAUUGUUCAAGGAAUGAAUGAAAUAGCUUGAGAUUCGUGCUUCAAAUAUUCAAGGAAGGAAUGGAAUUAUUCAUUCCGCUGCGAGAUGGAAUGGAAUGGACCAUUUUGUUCUUCGUAUUUUGUUAAUUUUCCAUUAUUUAUUGACUAAAUGCUUUUUUUUUUUCAUUUUCAUUGUCUCAUUAAAUGUAGAAAUUAUUUCCAGC